rnacentral:rRNA from 1 species
UUGCGGCCCCAGGUCAGGCGUGAAU